UCCCUGGUGGUCCAGUGGUUAGGACGUUGCCUUCCUGUGCAUGGGGUACAGGUUCGAUCCCUGGUCAGGGAG
rnacentral:tRNA from 1 species